rnacentral:rRNA from 1 species
UACAGAGGUCCCAAGCGUUGUUCGGAUUCACUGGGCGUAAAGGGUGCGUAGGCGGCGGGGUAAGUCGGAUGUGAAAUCCCGGGGCUCAACCCCGGAACUGCAUUCGAUACUGCCUUGCUAGAGUACUGGAGAGGAGACUGGAAUUUACGGUGUAGCAGUGAAAUGCGUAGAUAUCGUAAGGAAGACCAGUGGCGAAGGCGAAUCUCUGGACAGUUACUGACACUGAGGCACGAAGGCCAGGGGAGCAAACGGG